AGUGAACGCUGGCGGUAGGCCUAACACAUGCAAGUCGAACGGCAGCACAGUAAGAGCUUGCUCUUACGGGUGGCGAGUGGCGGACGGGUGAGGAAUACAUCGGAAUCUACCUUUUCGUGGGGGAUAACGUAGGGAAACUUACGCUAAUACCGCAUACGACCUACGGGUGAAAGCAGGGGAUCUUCGGACCUUGCGCGAUUGAAUGAGCCGAUGUCGGAUUAGCUAGUUGGCGGGGUAAAGGCCCACCAAGGCGACGAUCCGUAGCUGGUCUGAGAGGAUGAUCAGCCACACUGGAACUGAGACACGGUCAAGACUCCUACGGGAGGCAGCAGUGGGGAAUAUUGGACAAUGGGCGCAAGCCUGAUCCAGCAAUACCGCGUGGGUGAAGAAGGCCUUCGGGUUGUAAAGCCCUUUUGUUGGGAAAGAAAAGCAGCAGGUUAAUACCCCGCUGUUCUGACGGUACCCAAAGAAUAAGCACCGGCUAACUUCGUG
rnacentral:rRNA from 1 species